UACGUAGGGUGCGAGCGUUAAUCGGAAUUACUGGGCGUAAAGCGCAUGCAGGCGGAUCGUUAAGUCGGGGGUGAAAUCCCAGGGCUCAACCCUGGAACUGCCUUCGAUACUGGCGAUCUUGAGUCCGGGAGAGGUGAGUGGAACUCCGAGUGUAGAGGUGAAAUUCGUAGAUAUUCGGAAGAACACCAGUGGCGAAGGCGGCUCACUGGCCCGGUACUGACGCUGAGAUGCGAAAGCGUGGGGAGCAAACAGG
rnacentral:rRNA from 1 species